GAAGUCACUGUGAAGAAAACCAGAAAUUCAAGGAAAGAUGGAUACCUCCAAGGAAGGAAAAGCCCAUGCCUGUACGCGAGCUCACCUGUGAUGGAGCAUGGAGGAAGAGGUGGCCAUAAUAAGGCAGUGAGGUCCAUGCAGCAUUCACAGCCACUGACCCUGGAGCCUUCUGAAGAGAGGGAAGAGGGGAUAAAAAGGGAGGAAAUGACACACCGGCCUCGGAUACACACCCAAUUCAUAUGUGUGAACAACUUGAGUUUGUGCUACAUUCCAUAUUGGAAUUUUUAAAAUAUCAACAAUUUGUGACUUGUCUGUGAGAGUAAAUCCACUUCCUGGUUGGUCAAGAAACUUCCAGAAGAACCUUUAGGAUCUUCUUUCAAGAAAAACCAAAGAAGCUGACAUAGACAUGUGAAGUAACCACUUUCUGUGUCACUGUGUGACAGAUUAUCCGGCAGAAUAACCUAUAGAGGGGCAGAGGGCUGCCUAGGUGAGGGGUGGAUGGGUAGGGAGUGGGGAGUUGUAACUUCGAAGUCUUGGCCCUCAUGACUGCCUCCAUGAGCCAGGCCCCACUUCCUAAAAGCUCCUAUAACAUUCCACCAUGAGCUAAAGACUGAGUAUUCAAAAUGCAAUACAGUGUGAAGCAUUUCAGCUUUGAACCAUAACACUCUCUUAAACUGAAUGUCCCAAACCUACAUUUUAUUUUACACAAAAUUCAGUGCAUGUGUUGUCUAGAAAUCUUGGGUCUGGUGGUUUAGUUUCCCACCUUUUGAUCUAUGCAUGUGUUUCUUCAAAGUACACUAAAAAUUAUUGCACUGAUUAGUGGGUCAGUGAAUAAUUAUGGGACAGAAACUCUUUGUCUUAACCUUGUGAACUGCAGUUUCAGCUGAUGGAGGGAGUAACUUGUUACCUUGAAGCAGGAGAGCAUGGGAGAUAGUUAGCAGCCUGGGACCCCAAUUUCGGUUAUGUACGCCCCCGCUAGUAAUAAUGUACUUGGCAGCCUAGUUCCUUUGCUUGCAUAUACUAUGCAUCUCUCCCACUCUGGUGUACUUAUAGACCUUAGAAUACUGUAGAACCUCCCUCCCAUCCUAUGCCAGGCUACAGGCAUUCCCAUCUCUAAGAAUGAUAUGAGUUUUCUCACCCCAGUAGCAACCAAAUUUGGACAGUUUCUAUUCAAGUGUAUUCCCAUCACAUAUAUGUAUGAACAGAAGGGCUAAUCCACCUUGAUUUGGCUUUGGGUAUAUGCACAACAAGGCAAAACUGUGUUUCCUAGUAAACUUUUAGGAGAAUUUCCUACUUACCAUUUUAUAUCUAUGUAGAAUUGGCUAUCAUACAAUUAAAACCAGUUGCAUUAUGGGAAGGGACAUGCAUAGUAGGAAAACUGAGUGUAUGCUUAACCUAUCAAUCAACACAGAGAACCACCCAAACUACACGCCCCUUGGUAACCAACUCCUUCUUCUAAAUCCCAUAAAAUAGGCUCAGAACAAUGAUGGGGGUGGGUGUCCCCGUCUCUAAUCUGUACUCAGAAUAAAGUUAUCUUGCUGCUUUUGCAA